ACAUUUGGAAUUGAUGAUGUUUUUGGUAAUAUAAAAAUGGUAAAUAUUUUACAUAGUAAAAAAAUAUAUAUAAUUUAUUCAAUUAUUAUCUAAUUGACUUUAUUAAUAUAUUUCUUAAAAUAUUUGAUUUUAGAUUUAUAAAGUCACUUGACGCAACAAGUGCCAAAAUGAUUUGCAUAACAUUUUUUUGUUUGAAUUAUUCAAUUAAUUCAAAUAUUACGACAGAAAAUAGCAAAGAAAAGAAAAAAAAACAACAAACACAUGCGGGAGUUGUAGCACAUGAAAAUUUUCAUUAGCUCUGCUGUGCUACCGCUCCCAAUUUUUUGCUACCGCUACGCCAGAGCAUAGCGCAGAAUUUAAUUUUUUGCUACCGCUCCAGCUAUAGUUUUUUACCCAACAAAACUCGGAGCAGAGUAGAGCACUUCUUUUACAUUGUUAUGCUAAGGCUAUGCUGUGGCUCCCGACAAAGUGAGAGCGGUAGCAAGAGUAAAAUGAAAUGCUACGGGAGUAGCGUAGUUUUUCAAACGCUGAAAAAAAUCCCGUUGUAACUCUAAACACAACAUGUAUUUUUUUGCUUGGCAACUGGGAGUAGUUUUUUGCUGUGAUCACCGGUGAUACACUGGCACCUGGGGGUAGUUUUUUGUUGUAAUCACCGGUGAUACAUUGGCAGCCAACGUGUUAAGAAUGGUUUCCAUUCUUUUUGAAAUUAGGUUGGUGUUUCAUUUUGAUUUUUUCACAUACAUAACUAAAGAUUUUGAAGCGGUAUUAUUACAGACACCAUCCAUGCACUAGAUAAUUGUAUUCCCAGAAGUCCUGGACAGAGUUGACCGGGACCCCAAAUACAGCAACCAUCAACCGAAGAUCAAUCACCUCAUGAACUUGAUGUCAUGUAAUUUUUUGUAUAAUACCGCAAAUCCUCAGAAAAAUUAAUGGAAAAAUUAAAAAAACAUGCAAAUAGUCAAAUAUUAAAAAAAUACCGCAGCUACUGAUUAACCGUUACUUUAGAAAUGGGUUUUUUCAUGUUGUACCUUUUUAAUAAAAAUUAGUUGAAAACGAUCACUUGUGUGUAACUAUUCAUCAGAAUGGCAUCGCGAAAUGUGCUCCUCUUAAAAGAAAAAAUGGAAAUAAUAAAUUUCCAAGAAAAAUAUAAAAAUUCUGUUCGUGAUAUUGCAAAGAGGUUUAACAAUGGAAAAACGCAAUCUGCACCAAUUAUCAAAAAUACAGAAGACAUCAUAGCUAAAAGUCUUCUAUUAGACUUAUAAGACUCUUUUUUCGAGCCAUGACUGACAAAAAGUUGGCUCUAAAAUCAGAGAAAUGUUUUUUUUUGCAUCAAUAUGGUUGCACAAAAAAAAGCUAUUAUUUUUUAGAAAAGCGGCCCACCCGAGAGCUUUUAAACACAUACAAAUUGCCGAUUUACUAGUCGAUUGGAAAUUGAACAAAAAGGCGUGGAUGACAACAGAAAUUAUGUCAGAGUGGUUACAACUUGACACAAAAAUUAAAUCUCGCAACAGGAAUAUUAUUUUAUUUUUAGAUAUUGCUGUCUCUCAUUUCAGAGAUAUCUGCCCAACAAAUAUACUUUAGAGUCUACCUCCAGAUGCCAUAUGCCAGCCCUUGGAUCAGGGCAUAAUACAAAAUUUCAAAGUCAUAUAUAGAAACUUCAUUAUAAAAGAUAUGCUAUCAAAUAUGGACACAGCUAAAUCCGCAUCAGAAUUAUCAAAAAAAAUAUUCUCGAUGCUCUGUUUUGUUAAAGCUUUUUGGGACAAAAUUGAAGCGUCAUACAUAGAAAACUGUUUCCGAAAAUCUGGAUUUAUACAAAAUUCGAAUAUCGAACUGUUUGAGCUUGAGAAUGAUAUUCUGUUAGCAACGCUCUUUAAUUUAAACGAAAUUGCGCAACUUAGUGCCUUUAUACUUAUGUAUUAGAGGAUUAAUUUAAAUAUUGAUAACGUUGCAUACGCAGAAAAUCACAGUAUUGAAAUUGAUUAUGAAGGCGUUACUACUCGUAGUACUGGGAGGAUUUAAGUGAUUCUGAUGAGGAGGUAGCUGUGGAAGACACGGAUCUAAUUAAUAAUAAUCAUGAAGAAUUCAAAUCAAUUUUUCGCUUGAAAACGUUGCUAAAAGUGAUGUUGCAUAUCAACUACUAACGUCUUUAGAGAUUCGUCUUGUGGAAAAUGAGAAAAAAUGGAAGCAAACCAACCUCAAGCAAUCAACAAUCCGUAAAUUUUUUCAGCAACAAAACUAAUUUUAAAUUUUGUAUAUGUACUAAUAUCUAAUACUAAUACUAAUAUCUAAUACUUAUUUUCA